GUGGAUUAGAUACCCUGGUAGUCCACGCCCUAAACGAUGUCAACUGGGUGUUGGGGAAGCGAUUCCUUGGUACCGUAGCUAACGCGUGAAGUUGACCGCCUGGGGAGUACGGCCGCAAGGUUAAAACUCAAAGGAAUUGACGGGGACCCGCACAAGCGGUGGAUGAUGUGGAUUAAUUCGAUGCAACGCGAACAACCUUACCUACCCUUGACAUGUCUGGAAUCCUUCUGAGAGGAGGGAGUGCCCGAAAGGGAACCGGAACACAGGUGCUGCAUGCUUGUCGUCAACU
rnacentral:rRNA from 1 species